rnacentral:tRNA from 1 species
CAAAAUGUAGCUUAACCAAAGCCCUUCGCUUACACCGAACUCAUAUCUGUUUAACCCAGAUCAUUUUGA